UUUUUUUUUUUUUUUUGUGAGAAGAAGCUCAAACCAAAUAUUCGACACGUCCAAAUGGAUUAAUUCUAAAUCGAACCUAAAAAUCUGAUCCAAUCUAAGCUUAUUUGGAUUGUAGUAAUUUCUUCAAUUUAAAAAUCAAAAAUCAAGACAACAAUUUUAAUAUUUAACUCGAAUUGCCCAAACACUCACCCCUAGUGCAGGGUGGAGAGAGAGUAGAGACGAGAAAGAAUAAUACUACAUUAGAAAUGAAUGACGAAACAAAAGUGAUCAAUUUUAAAGCUUAGUGAUUUACAUUGUCGAAGUGCAAUUAUAACCAUCUUGCCUAUUAUUCUUAAGAGUACAUCAAUGUAUGAGCUAUAAACAAGAAUUGCAUUAAUCAAAUAGAGAAAAAAAAACUACUAACAAGAGAAAGAUUAACACACAACCAAUAGAACUCUACAAAAGAUUAACAAUCACAGCCAGAUGUCUCAUCUGAUUUUAACAUGUUGCAUAGUAGACCAUUCUCUGUUUCGGUUGCUUCCUCAUAUUUUAGCAAGAUACCCCCCCCCCCACCCCAAACCAAACCCAAAGACAGUAAAAUGCAGGAUUUAGGCGGUAAUACACGAAUUCCAGCAAAGGAAGCAACGAAUAAGAAACUAAUACACAUCUCGAGAAACUGUUUUGUUUGCAUCAUGUUUAUCAAAUCAAAACAUACCCCCCUCCUUGGCCAGGGGGGAAUAAACAAAGCUGGUGAAUUUCACCCAUCUAACUAGAAAGUAAACUUUAUUAUGAGUCACGGAAAUAUUAAUGCAUCAUCAUACAUGCACUUACAGGCAUGACAUAUGUGCCCCUCUUCAAGAAGGUCAUACCUUUCUAUAUUUCAAAUACAUGCUUGUUUCCCAGAUGUAGGAACAUUCUAUACUGUGCUUAAAUGCGUGACCUUGAAGCUGAAGAUGUAGAAGCAGGUGCACUC
rnacentral:lncRNA from 1 species